rnacentral:antisense_RNA from 1 species
CUUUAUGGUGGCUGUGCGUGGGACACCUUCGGGUGUGCCGGUUUCCUUGAUUCCCGGUCCGCGAACCCGCGCACAGCCGCCACCCUU